rnacentral:rRNA from 1 species
UACGAAGGGUGCUAGCGUUGUUCGGAAUUACUGGGCGUAAAGGGCGCGUAGGCGGCUUGGCAAGUUGGAUGUGAAAUCCCCGGGCUUAACCUGGGAACUGCAUUUGUGACUGCAUGGCUGGAGUGCGGCAGAGGGGGAUGGAAUUCCGCGUGUAGCAGUGAAAUGCGUAGAUAUGCGGAGGAACACCGAUGGCGAAGGCAAUCCCCUGGGCCUGCACUGACGCUCAUGCACGAAAGCGUGGGGAGCAAACAGG